rnacentral:piRNA from 1 species
UGAGUUUGUGGAAGUAUAUUC